rnacentral:rRNA from 1 species
AUACGGAGGACGCGAGCGUUAUCCGGAUUUAUUGGGUUUAAAGGGAGCGUAGGCGGGAGCUUAAGUCAGCGGUUAAAUGGUGCGGCUCAACCGUGCCCUGCCGUUGAAACUGGGUUUCUUGAGAGUGCAAGAGGCGGAUGGAAUUCAUGGUGUAGCGGUGAAAUGCUUAGAUAUCAUGAAGAACUCCGAUUGCGAAGGCAGUCCGCUGGGGCACGUCUGACGCUGAUGCUCGAAGGUGCGGGAAUCAAACAGGAUUAGAUACCCUGGUAGUCCGCACGGUAAACGAUGAUUACCCGCUGUCGGCGGUAGACAGUCGGCGGCCAAGCGAAAGCGAUAAGUAAUCCACCUGGGGAGUACGCCGGCAACGGUGAAACUCAAAUGAAUUGGCGGGG